GGCGUGGGUGGCUAGGCUGCUGGGAGGAGAGUCUUGAACAGGAGUCUACCCUCUGCACAUUCAAGGCCUUGUCACUAAGACGUUCCUUUAACAGAAGAGCGCUCUCAGCCCUCAAAGAUCCCAUGCAGAGGGCUCACCUACUGCAGGAUAAGAGAGCCAAAAUUGAGAAUCACCAGAGAACUCUGUUCCAGGAAUCAAGUGAUUAAAGUUACAGUUCCAGCAUCAUCACUAAAUAGCAAGGUGACCUUGGAUGCCUCAUUUUAUCAAAUCUAUUUUUCAGCCUCUAAAAGUGGGAUGAUAAUUUCACAGAUUUGUUAUAAGGAUGAAAAGAGAAAAUGGAUGGGAAAAGUCUGUGAAAGCUUUUGAGAUGUAGGAUAAUAAAAACGGGAAGAGAUCUGCUGGGAGGUUAUCUAGCCCAACCUUCCACCAGGUGCUCAUUGAGACUCUGCAUGGAACUUUCACUAAUGGAAAAAUCACUCCCUCACAGCAAGGUUUCAUUGUUGGCAGACACAAAAAGGACUUUUAAAAAUUAUUUUUAAAAUUUAAGAGAUAUUGUGUCUCUAGGAUGAUAUACAUGUUUCAAGUAGUUUUAAAAG
rnacentral:lncRNA from 1 species